GCACGCGUUGUCCGGAUUUACUGGGCGUAAAGGAUGCGUAGGCGGACAUUUAAGUCAGAUGUGAAAUACCCGAGCUUAACUUGGGUGCUGCAUUUGAAACUGGGUGUCUAGAGUGCAGGAGAGGUAAGUGGAAUUCCUAGUGUAGCGGUGAAAUGCGUAGAGAUUAGGAAGAACACCAGUGGCGUAGGCGACUUACUGGACUGUAACUGACGCUGAGGCAUGAAAGCGUGGGGAGCAAACAGG
rnacentral:rRNA from 1 species